GGGAACACCUUCAAGGCUGAGAGGGGUCUAAAUUGGAAGCAGCUGAGUAAGAACUUGCAUGCUCGCAUGCUUGUAUGUAACCUCCUACUGCAAAUAGCCUAAACACCCUACACCUGCCUUGCCUCCAUCAGACUAGUAAGACAUUUAAACAAUGUAAAUUAGUGCAAGGGGCCAUACUGGCAAUACUUCAAAUGAGACCUCUUCAUAUACAUGUGAAUUGAGAAUGCAGAGAAGGAGGGUAAGGUAGUUUGUCCCUGAGACCACUAGUGAGGUGACAGUUCUGACUACACUUGCAAUGAGCCAAAAGUCCCCCAGAAAUGGGGAUAAUAUUGCCUACAAGCUGUGGAGUAACCUGGCAAAUGACUUCUCAGUACUGAUCAGCAUGUGGCUGUAGGGGAUGAUCCCUAUGUCCAAGUGGUUCUUAGCAAUUUUGGAGGGUUGAGGGACUGAACUAGACACACAGGGUGAUGACCUCCUCCUCCUCCUCCCCUCUUUUCUGCAGGGAAUAUAGUGGAAAUGGAAAUACAAUCAUGUAAGAAGAACACAUUGGAGUAUCACAAAUUAUUUCACUGCUAUGCUAUUCUAAAUGGUUUUAGUGGGUAUUUCUCCAAUUCAGGGAUUUACAUAUCGCACUUCUCAGAGGCUGCAAAAAAUUUUUCACUGUGUGUCAGCAAUAUGGUAACUGAGCACACCCUAAAACCAUGCCUAUGCUAGGAAAAUUAGCAACGUUUCAAAAUAGUUCCAGGAAACAAUCUUAAGCAGGUUCAGAUGAUCAGAACUGUAUUUGGAAAAAUAUUAUUAGCUAGCACAUUUUAACACUACUUCAUAUCUUGACCUAGGUAAUCUUCUAACACUCAGUCUGUGACCUGUGUCUGAAUGCCAAUGAGAAAGAAUGAGUACUUCACUUCAGCUAUUGUGCAAUUAAUUUCACAUUACUCAAUUUUAAAGGUUAGACUACUUAAUUAAUUCUUUUAAUCUCCUGGUAGUUACCAGGCUUUUCUAAACCAAACAUACAGACAUUUCUAGAGCACAGUACGAAAAAGGGAGCCAGGAUGUUGGAAUAGAAGGGAAAAAUGGAGUAAAGAGACUUUGACUCCUCCCUUUCUCACCUAACUUGCUCUACUUUUCUUUCACUUAGCUUCUAAAAACUAAUCUAACCACAGGAGAGAGGAGGAGGAGGAGGAAGAUGUUUGGUAAAUAUUUCUUAGACGAAAUAUCAAUUUCACUGGAAUACUUGUGUGAAUUAAUCCUCAGAAGUGCCUUUGUAAUUACAUAUUCUAGAACCUUUCUGUACUGUACUGGUUUUGUGGCUACAGGAUAAUUCAGGAUAAUCCCUUCUCAAAAGGAGGGAACACAGAGAAAAGAAGUGCUGCUUACAAACGAGCAUCAUGUUGCUUCUUGGUUCAUUGUGUCAGCUCAGAAGAUAAGCAGCUAGUUUAUAAAGUCCACACUACUGAAAAUAAGCAUAGAAAGAAACACAUAAUUUAUUAAGCAUUAGUGGUCUUUUGUGCAUGAAUGUGUCUCCUAUGCAGUAUAGGCUUUUUAAAGAUACCAAAGUAUUUAUUGGUAUUGUACCAGUCAAAAAUCACUGAAUUUCUAGGCCUCAUUCAUUACAACAGGUCUUGUCAAUUAAGAUAUUAACAACUUUGUCACCAGAAGCUGUUUUAAAUGUUUUCAACUGUUGCUUUAUGAAUCACUGUGAAAAUAAAGGCACAUGGAUAUCUCGGGUUGGGAGUUUGGGAAGAGGAGAGACCCCAAGUUAAAUUUAUGUGUACUAAAUUCACACAGUUGAAGUGCUACUUGUCAAUUUAGAAGUAUUUAAAAGUAUACAUUGUCACACGUUCUCUAAUUACUACUUUAAAUACAAGGAAGAUUGAGUUCUUUGAAUUCUGAUUGGAGAAAAGGCGGGGGGGGGGGGGAGGAAGGAUUCUACCAUGUUUUAACUUAGCCAGAUUAUGUGGAAGGUAGAGCAAGGAAUGGUCUGGUUCUAUAAAGAGAAAUCAUCUUUUUGUUUACUUUCAGCAAAUGCUAUCAUUGUCUCUCAGGUUUUCCAUCAUUUACCUGUUAAGUCUCCUGUUCAGUGACAGGUGCUGUCAUUUCAUGACAAAUGACUUCUGUGUAAAUGAAAACAAUUGUGUAUUUUUUUUUGUUCUGGUGUAAUAUAUUGUCCUUGAAACAUCAGGUAAAACUGAAAGAUGAACCAACUUACACAUUAUUUAUAAUGAAUGUAUUAUAUAUAUAUAAAGCAAAUUACUGUA
ensembl:lncRNA